rnacentral:rRNA from 1 species
AGAGUUUGAUCCUGGCUCAGGAUAAACGCUGGCGGCGCACAUAAGACAUGCAAGUCGAACGGAAGUCGUUAUAAAAUGGAUUGAAGAUUUAUCAGAUAGAAGUUUUGUAACAAUGGCUUUAGUGGCGGACUGGUGAGUAAUAUGUAAGCAACUUGCCUGUUAGAGGGGAACAACAGUUAGAAAUGACUGCUAAUACCGCAUAUGCCAUAGGAACUGCAUGGUUCUAGUGGGAAAGGAGAAAUCCGCUAACAGAUGGGCUUACAGCUGAUUAGCUAGUUGGUGGGGUAAAGGCCUACCAAGGCGACGAUCAGUAGCCGGACUGAGAGGUUCAACGGCCGCAUUGGGACUGAGAUACGGCCCAGACUCCUACGGGAGGCAGCAGUCGGGAAUUUUGCGCAAUGGAGGGAACUCUGACGCAGUGACGCCGCGUGCAGGAAGAAGGUUUUAGGAUUGUAAACUGCUUUAGACAGGGAAGAAGAAGGACAGUACCUGUAGAAUAAGCUCCGGCUAACUACGUGCCAGCAGCCGCGGUAAUACGUAGGGAGCGAGCGUUAUCCGGAUUUAUUGGGUGUAAAGGGUGCGUAGACGGGAUAGUAAGUUAGUUGUGAAAUCCCUCGGCUCAACCGAGGAACUGCAACUAAAACUGUUAUUCUUGAGUACUGGAGAGGAAAGUGGAAUUCCUAGUGUAGCGGUGAAAUGCGUAGAUAUUAGGAGGAACACCAGUGGCGAAGGCGACUUUCUGGACAGAGACUGACGUUGAGGCACGAAAGUGUGGGGAGCAAACAGGAUUAGAUACCCUG